rnacentral:rRNA from 1 species
CCUACGGGAGGCAGCAGUAGGGAAUCUUCGGCAAUGGGGGCAACCCUGACCGAGCAACGCCGCGUGAGUGAAGAAGGUUUUCGGAUCGUAAAGCUCUGUUGUAAGUCAAGAACGGGUGUGAGAGUGGAAAGUUCACACUGUGACGGUAGCUUACCAGAAAGGGACGGCUAACUACGUGCCAGCAGCCGCGGUAAUACGUAGGUCCCGAGCGUUGUCCGGAUUUAUUGGGCGUAAAGCGAGCGCAGGCGGUUAGAUAAGUCUGAAGUUAAAGGCUGUGGCUUAACCAUAGUACGCUUUGGAAACUGUUUAACUUGAGUGCAAGAGGGGAGAGUGGAAUUCCAUGUGUAGCGGUGAAAUGCGUAGAUAUAUGGAGGAACACCGGUGGCGAAAGCGGCUCUCUGGCUUGUAACUGACGCUGAGGCUCGAAAGCGUGGGGAGCAAACAGGAUUAGAUACCCUAGUAGU